rnacentral:lncRNA from 10 species
CUCAAGUGAAGCAGUAGAAGUGGACAAGGAACAAAAAAAUCUGCUCACAGCUGGAGAAAAUUUGUGUCAAGAUGAAUCAUGUUUUGAAUCUUCUCUCAUGUCAGAUUUAGAUAACUGUUUGGACUAUGGACCUCUUAGUUGAUGCUGGAAAGUGUUAAGAUUUUGGGGACUAUUAAGGUGAAAUAAAUGUAUUUUGCAUGUGAGAAAGACAUUAAUUUUGGGGGCUGUGGUGGAGAGCUAUGGCUUGAAUGUGUCCCCUAAGAAGCAUGUGUUGGAAACUUAAUCCCCAGUGCAACAGUGUUGGAAAGUUGGGCGUAAGAAAAGAUGUUUAUGUCAUAAGGGCUCCACCCACAUGAAUGCAUUAUUACUGAUUGUUAAAAGGCUUGAGGCUGCAAGUUUGAUCUCUCUC